CAAAGACUUCACUCCAAGGCAAGCUAGUGAGAGCUGAGCAGGCAGGCCGGCAGGAGCUGUUAGGGCUCAGUGGAUAACUCAGUCUGAGGCCCCUUGACCGUGAGAGGCUACGUCUGACCCCAGCACAGAGAGAGAGCCUCACACCUCCCAGCUGUGCAGAGCCGUGAGACUGGGCUGGCUCCCCGUGGGGCGGGCGCCCCCUCCAGCUGUCUGUGCCUCCUUCCCUCCUUGUCUGCCUGGGACACUGGCAUGAGCACGUGAGAGAUGGAGCUGGGACACCACCUUGUGACCAUGAGGCAGCACGCCUGAGCCUGGUUGCAUUUGUCUUGUGGGAGCCGGUGGAUUUGAGGAAAUGCCCCUGUAGGUGGUGUAUUGGGUGAUGGGUAAUUUUAUGUGUGGACUCCACCGACUGGCCAGGGUGUGCCAAGAUUAAACUCCAUUCUGGGUGUCUCUGCAUUGUGCUCCCGGAUGAAACUGGAAUUUGAAUUAGUAGACUCAGAGAAAAGCAGAUGGCCCGCCCCCGAGUGGGCCUCAGGCGAUUCCUGACGGCCUGAAUAGAGAGAGAGAGGGAGGAAGGAGGAGGUUUCUGCCUUGCUGCCUGGGCGGGGACGUAGCUCCUCUUCCCCUGCGCGCAGACCGGGCUUAAAACUACCCGCAGGCGCUGGGUUGUGGGACUUCGCUGCCUCCGUAAUUGUGUGAACCAAUUCCUCAUAAUAAAUUUCCAUUUCCACCCCCCCCCCCUUGGUUC
rnacentral:lncRNA from 1 species